GACCUCGUAGCUCAGUUGGCUAGAGCACUACACUUUUAAUGUAGGAGUCCUGGGUUCGAAUCCCAGCGGGGCCA
rnacentral:tRNA from 1 species